ensembl:lncRNA
GGAACCUCGCGCUCCGACACGCGCUCCGACACGCGCUCCGACACGCGCUCCGACACGCGCUCCGACACGCACAGGUCGUCGGCGCCUGCUGACCCGGCCGCUGCUCCUCCUGUUUCUCGGUCACAUGUGAGUCCUAGACUCGGGAGACCAACCGGAGAGCCGCGACCCCCGCCUGGCCGGGCAGACACACCCCUGCGGCUCUGCUCGCAUAGCUUCCUAACCCUCGGGGCCAAAGACCGCCGUUCGGGGAGUUUCCUAUUUUAGACUAAAAGGUGGAGAAUAGAAGUUGAAAGGCAGAAUUUCCUAGAAGUGUUCUGAAGACAGACCGAGGCGGCGGACGCCGGCCUGUGGAGAGUCUGGCUCCGUCCAGCAGUGUCCACGGCGGGAAGACUCGGACGUCAGGGCCCUUUUCACAAUCAGUGACCCCUCCCUCUGCUUCCCGACUACCAGAGAGCUGCAUGGUUGGCUUCAGUUACACAAGGUACUUGGCCGAUGUAAUUAAUGACCUCGUGUAUGAUCACCUCCACUAAAGGGUAAAUGCUGCCUCAGCAUGUGGCGUGUUCUUCAGACAACAACAAUCUGAGUGAACGCAGGAGGCAUCACAGGAGUGGGUUUGGGGAAGAAGAACAGCCGUCAUCCCUCGAGUCAGCCCAGGGAGACAGCACAGGCUGGGGCUUCGGGCCCCAGAUCCUCUGCAUCUCCUGUUCCUGCCAUGUUAGAUGACAGGCGGCCAGUUCUCCGCGGCUCCUGGGAGGAGGGUGCGAUCACUCACGCUGGUCCAGCUCGGGGUGCAGACACGCGGUGGCGGAAUGUCCCCGGCCGGCCAGGACGCGGCGCCACACACCUGGCAGCUUCACAUGGCAGAAGCUGAUGGUCUCACAGCCCCGAGGCUGGAGUCCAGAGACAAGCGGUGAUGUCCUUCCUGUCCCCCUCUGGCUCCGUGAUGGCCACGUGGUCAUCUCCUGUCCUCGAUCAUCUUCCUUCUCUGAGUGUCUGUCUCUGUGCCCAUACUUCCCCUUCCCAUAGCAGCACCAGUCAUGGCUAGCUCUGCAGCGGCCCCACCUCCAAACAAGGUCAUGGUCACAGGCACCAGGAGUCAGAACGCAGGCGUCUCUUUUGGGGACACAGUUCAGUCCGUGACAGGAGCCCCUCGGCCUUCGUUGAUGACACUCUCCCUCCCACCCCCUCUGUGUAGAUUGCAUCAGCUGUUCUCAAACCCUUGACCCCAAAGCCCUUUGUACUAAUCGCUGGAAAACACAAAGAGCUUUUGUGUCUGUGGAUUGUAUCUAUUGAUGUUUCCCAUGCUGGAGAUUACAAUAGGGAUGUGUUUGCGUUAAUUAGGCUUCCUUGGUGGCUCAGGCCGUAAAGCCAGGUAACUGCCAGCAAUACAGGAGACGUGGGUUCGAUCACUGGGUUGGGAAGAUACCCUGGAGAAGGACAUGGCAACUCACUCCAGUACUCUUGCCUGGAAAAUCCCAUGGGUGGAGGAGCCUGGUGGGCUACAGUCUGUGGGGUGGCAAAGAGUCGGACACGACUGAGCAACUUCACUUUUGCAUUAAUUAAUUACUUUAAUCCAUUUAAAAAUAACUACAAUAAAUCCUUCGCUAGUGGUAAAGAACCUGCCCAUGAAGGAGACAUGAGAGACGCAAGUCCAAUCCUGGGUCGGGAAGAUGCCCUGGAGAAGGAAAUGACACCCAGUCCAGUAUUUUCGUCUGGAGAAUCUCACAGAGGAGAAUCUCACAAAGGAGGCCGGCAGGCUAUAGUCCAUGGGGUGGAAAAAGCCGGACACAACACACACACACACACACACACCAAACCCAACGCACAUUCAUAGAAACAACAUUUUUAUGAAAAUGGUUUAUUUUCCCAAAAAUAAUCAGGGGAAGAGUAGCAGCGGUCUACAUUUUGCAAAUCUCUCUGAAAUCUCGGCUGAAGAGGACAGCUGGGUUCUCGUCUUUCCGUAUUCAGGCUGCUGCUGUGUGCUGUUUGGUUGAAGAAAUUCAGCCUCGUGCAGAUGUGUUGUUGGGGAAGUGGGGAGUGUUUGAAUAGCUUUUCAGAGAACUGCGGGUGUGCUUCAUGGCUCCAGCAAGACUCAGCCGCGCUUAGUUAUGAAACCUGAAGCCGCAGCAAUAAGCUCUUACUCUAUUACUGUGACAUCCGUUGGUCUGUGUUGCCCUCUGAACACAAGACUUUGUAUCUCGAGUGCCACUGUUUGGUAAUUAUUGAUGCCCUAGAGGUAUGCAGAUCUUCCAAAGGCUGGCACAUUUUACAAGACAAUAUUUUUAAAACCCACCACAAUUCUCACCGGAAAAGUCUUCAAGUACCGGAACAUCUCAGCCUCUCAGUGGCGGGUAUCAGUUUUCCAAAGUUCUAAUUUUCACUUGAACAUUCAGUUUUUCUUAUUGACAAUAAAUGCUGUCGGUUAUUUUCUUUGAAGUGAUGUUUUGAGAAAAUGUCUGCCUAAUGCCCACAUCUGCAGAAGUGUUGUUUUCCCAUUAAACACCCCUUCUGGCAAAAAUGAGGCUCUACCAAGAAAAGGGGGUGGUUCGGGUUGCAGACUGAGUUUUCCCCUGAGACAAAUGUGGCCCUUCAGGGGGGCUUCAUGCCCACCCCAGCUUUGUCAUGCGUGCACUGAGAAGACGUGGGAGAAGGGUCAAGAGUUAGUAAAACGCACCCUCUUUUCUGCUCUGUCCAGGAC